AACCUUCCCAUAACUCAGGGAUAGCCUUUCGAAAGAAAGAUUAAUACCUGAUAGUACUUUCUACAAGGCAUCUUAGAAAAAGUUAAAGAUUUUAGUUGGUUAUGGAGUGGGGAUGCGUUCCAUUAGAUAGUUGGUGAGGUAACGGCUCACCAAGUCUUCGAUGGAUAGGGGUUCUGAGAGGAAGGUCCCCCACAUUGGUACUGAGACACGGACCAAACUCCUACGGGAGGCAGCAGUGAGGAAUAUUGGUCAAUGGGCGAGAGCCUGAACCAGCCAAGUAGCGUGAAGGAAUGAAGGUCCUAUGGAUUGUAAACUUCUUUUAUAGUAGAAUAAAGUGAGCCACGUGUGGUUUUUUGUAUGUAUACUAUGAAUAAGGAUCGGCUAACUCCGUGCCAGCAGCCGC
rnacentral:rRNA from 1 species